AUAGGUCAGGGUGUGUGUGUGUAUGUUUUUUUUUUGGCAAUUUUUGAAUUUUUUGGGUUUUGUUGUUGAGUCACAAAGUUGGGUGAUUGCGCCGCGGACAACGCGGGUCAAAUUGGGCCGCAGCGAGCGCAAUGGCAGUGAAAAGGCUAAAAUAUUGAUUUUUUU
rnacentral:ribozyme from 12 species